CUACGUGCCAGCAGCCGCGGUAAUACGGAAGGUCCAGGCGUUAUCCGGAUUUAUUGGGUUUAAAGGGAGUGUAGGCGGUUUGUUAAGCGUGUUGUGAAAUUUAGAUGCUCAACAUUUAACUUGCAGCGCGAACUGUCAGACUUGAGUACACGCAACGUAUGCGGAAUUCAUGGUGUAGCGGUGAAAUGCUUAGAUAUCAUGAAGAACUCCGAUUGCGAAGGCAGCAUACGGGAGUGUAACUGACGCUUAAGCUCGAAGGUGCGGGUAUCGAACAGGAUUAGAUACCCUGGUAGUCCGCACAGUAAACGAUGGAUGCCCGCUGUUAGCGCCUGGCGUUAGCGGCUAAGCGAAAGCAUUAAGCAUCCCACCUGGGGAGUACGCCGGCAACGGUGAAACUCAAAGGAAUUGACGGGGGCCCGCACAAGCGGAGGAACAUGUGGUUUAAUUCGAUGAUACGCGAGGAACCUUACCCGGGCUUGAAUUGCAGAGGAAUUAUU
rnacentral:rRNA from 1 species